AGUGAACGCUGGCGGUAGGCCUAACACAUGCAAGUCGAACGGCAGCACAGUAAGAGCUUGCUCUUACGGGUGGCGAGUGGCGGACGGGAGGGGAAUACAUCGGAAUCUACUUUUUCGUGGGGGAUAACGUAGGGAAACUUACGCUAAUACCGCAUACGACCUACGGGUGAAAGCGGGGGAUCUUCGGACCUUGCGCGAUUGAAUGCGCCGAUGUCGGAUUAGCUAGUUGGCGGGGGAAAGGCCCACCAAGGCGACGAUCCGUAGCUGGUCUGAGAGGAUGGUCAGCCGCACUGGGACUGUGACACGGUACAUAGUCCCACGGGAGGGAGCAGGGGGGAAUCGGGGACAAGGGGCGGAAACCUGAGCCAGCCAUACCGCGUGGGUGAAGAAGGCCGUCGGGUUGUAAAGCCCUUUUGUUGGGAAAGAAAAGCAGCAGGUUAAUAACGCGCUGUUCUGACGGUACCCAAAGAAUAAGCACCGGCUUACUUCGGG
rnacentral:rRNA from 1 species